rnacentral:lncRNA from 1 species
UAAGCCGUUAAGCUUCGGUUUGAAUCGGUUUUCGGUUUCGGAUCGGUUUUGAACACCCCUAAUGUCAAUUGUCUCUAAGAAUCCUAAUCGGUUAAGGCUACGAGUUCGAACUACCAAAGGAUUGUUAACCAACUUUCUCAUUCUGCAUUUACCUAUUAUAGUAAAACAAACUAAAAUGAAAACAUAUUCAACCUAGGUGCGGUGAAACCAAACAAAACUAACAAAUUAGAACUAUUAAACUAAUACAUUGAAGAUGGAAACAAUUAUCAAAUGCUUUAUGAGUUGCUUUUACACAAAUGUACGAAGAGGCUAGCAGGAUACUAACUACAAUCAAUCGUGAGCUAUGCUACUAAUCUAACAGGAUAUCAAAAAGGUCAUACAAAUCUGAGAAUUAUCAGUUUAGACAGUUCAUUAGUUAACAGUCCAAGUUACACAAAUCAGGUAAAAACUAAACUAUUGCAUAGAAAUCUAUCAACCAUCCAAGUCGUGAAUGCAUUUUAUUUCAACUUCGAACUCAGAGUUACAUUUCGAAGCAGUGUACCUGAAGGUGGGAAACAAUAAAGAAAAAG